CCGGGAAACUUGAACUCAGACCAACAGGGAAAACUUUUCUCUAGAUUACAAUUCGGGCAACCAAAGAUUACCAAAUUUUAAAUUGGAGCUCUUCCCGCCCCUCUCGCCGACACCAGGGGAAUCCUUGUUAGUUUCUUUUCCUCCGCUUAUGGGAUAUGAA
rnacentral:rRNA from 1 species